rnacentral:rRNA from 1 species
UACGUAGGUGGCAAGCGUUGUCCGGAUUCAUUGGGCGUAAAGAGCUCGUAGGCGGUUCGCUAAGUCAGGUGUGAAAUCUCCACGCUCAACGUGGAGGGGCCACCUGAUACUGGCGUGACUCGAGUCCGGUAGGGGAGUGUGGAAUUCCCGGUGUAGCGGUGAAAUGCGCAGAUAUCGGGAGGAACACCAGUGGCGAAGGCGGCACUCUGGGCCGGAACUGACGCUGAGGAGCGAAAGCGUGGGGAGCGAACAGG